rnacentral:rRNA from 1 species
GUUGCCGGGUCGGGGUUGUAGGACAUUUGUCCGGAACAUGUGCGUUCCGGCGGCAGUUACCAAGUCAGGUGUUAGUCGAAGCGAGUGGAACCUCGCACCACAGAGGGCAAACGUCCCGUAGACGAAAGCGCACUGACCUGCCGAUGAUGUUCCUGAGUAGGACCACACCCGUGAAACGUGGUCUGAACCUGGGGGGACCACCCUCCAAGGCUAAGUACUCCCUGGUGACCGAUAGUGAACUAGUACCGUGAGGGAAAGGUGAAAAGUACCCCGGAAGGGGAGUGAAAUAGUACCUGAAACCAUACGCCUACAAGCGGUCGGAGCAUCUUCGGAUGUGACGGCGUGCUUUUUGCAUAACGAGCCUGCGAGUUACUCUUCAGUGGCAAGGUUAAGCGAUGAGCGGAGCCGCAGCGAAAGCAAGUCUGAAUAGGGCGACAUAGUCAUUGGAGGUAGACCCGAACCCGAGCGAUCUAUCCAUGGGCAGGUUGAAGCGUGGGUAAAACCACGUGGAGGACCGAACCCACCGAAGUUGAAAAUUCGGGGGAUGACCUGUGGAUCGGAGUGAAAGGCUAAUCAAGCUCGGAGAUAUCUGGUUCUCUCCGAAAUAUAUUUA